rnacentral:rRNA from 1 species
AGGUGCGAUCAUACCAGCUUUAAUGCAACGGAUCCCAUCAGAACUCUGCAGUUAAGUGCGCUUAGGCUAGAGUAGUACUGGGAUGGGUGACCUCCAAGGAAGUUCUAGUGCUGCACCCU